rnacentral:lncRNA from 1 species
GUGCAAAAGCUUGUCAGUUUGAUUAGGUCCCAUUGGUUUAUUUUUGCUUUUAUUUCUGUUGCUUUGGGAGACUGACCUGAGAUAACAUUUGUAAGGUUGAUGUCAGAGAAUGUUUUGCCUAUAUUCUCUUCCAGGAGUUUGAUGAUGUCUUGUCUUACGUUUACGUCUUUAAGCCGUUUUGAGUUUAUUUUUGUGCAUGUAGUGUUGAGGGUGUGUUCUAGUUUCAUUGAUUUACAUGUGGCUGUCCAGUUUUCCCAGCACCACUUGCUGAAAAGACUUUUUCCCAUCUUAUAUCUUGCCUCCUUUGUCAAAGAUUAAUUGGCCGUAGGUAUCUGGGUUUAUUUCUGGGUUCUCUAUUCUGCUCCAUUGGUCUGUAUGUCUGUUCUGGUACCAUUACCACACUGUCUUGAUGACUGUGGCUUUGUAAUAUUGCCUGAAGUCUGGGAGAGUUAUGCCUCCUGCUUGGUUUUUGUUCCUCAGGACUGCUUUGGCAAUUCUGGGUCUUUUGUGGUUCCAUAUAAUGUUUGCAUUGUUUGUUCUAGUUCUGUGAAAAAUGUCGUGGGUAAUUUGAGAGGGAUUGCAUUGAAUCUGUAGAUUGCUUUGGGUAGUAUGGCCAUUUUUACAAUAUUAAUUUUUCCAACCCAGGAGCAUGGAAUAUUUUUCCAGUUCUUUGAAUCCUCUUUUAUUUCCUUGAUUAAUGCUUUAUAGUGUUCAGCAUAUCAGUCUUUCACCUCCUUGGUCAGGUGUAUUCCCAGGUAUUUGAUUUUUGGGGUGCAAUUUUAAAAGAUAUUGUAUUUUUGUAUUCCUUUUCUAAUAUUUCAUUGUUAGUAUACAUAAAUGUGACUGAUUUCUGAAUGUUAAUCUUAUAUCCUGCUGCUUUGUUGAAUUUGUUGAUCAGUUCAAGUAGUUUUGGGGUUGAGUCCUUAGGGUUUUCUGUGUAUAGUAUCUUGUGAUCUGCAUACAGUGAUAAUUUUACCUCUUCUCUUCCAAUUUGGAUACCUUUUAUUUCUUUUAUUUGUCUGACAGCUGUGGCCAGGACUUCCAAUACUGUGUUGAAUAACAAUGGUGAGAGUGGGCAUCCUUAUCUUGUUCCAGAUUUUAGUGGGAAGGCUUUCAGCUCUUCUGCAUUGAGUAUUAUAUUUGCUGUGGGUUUGUCGUAAAUGGCUUUUAUUAUGUUAAGGUAUGUUCCCUCUAUACCCACUUUGGUAAGAGUUUUCGUUAUGAAUGGAUAUUGGACUUUGUCACAUGCUUUUUCUGCAUCUAUUGAGAUGAUCAUGUGGUUUUUGACUAUUCUUUUGUUAAUGUGGUGUAUGACGUUGGUUGAUUUGCACAUGUUGAACCAUCCUUAUGAACCUGGGAUGAAUCCCCCCUGGUCGUGGUGUAUGAUCUUUUUUAUAUGUUGUUGGAUUUGGUUGGCUAAAAUUUUGUUGAGAAUUUUUGCAUCUGUAUUCAUCAGAGAUAUUGGUCUAUAGUUUUCUUUUCUGAUGGUAUCUUUGUUUUUGGAACUAGGGUGAUGGCAAUGUCCUAGAAUGUCUUUGGGAGUGUUCCUUCUUCUUCAACCUUUUGAAAAAGUUUAAGGAGGAUGGGUGUAAGUUCCUCUUUGUAUGUUUUGUAGAAUUCACCUGUGAAGCCCAUCUGGUCCUGGACUUUUAUUUGUAGGGAGUAUUUUCAUGACAUAUUCAAUUUCAUUUCUAGUUAUCAGUCUGUUCAGUUGAUCUGUUUCUUCUUGAUUCAGAUUUGGCAGGCUGUUAGUCUCUAGAAAGUUGUCUAUUUCUUCCAAGUUGUCAAAUUUGUUGGCAUACAAUUGUUCAUAGUAUUCUCUCAUGGUUUUUUGUAUUUCUGUAUCUGCUGCAACUUCUCCUUUUUCAUUUCUAAGUUUGUUUAUUUGGGUUUUUUCUAUCCUCUUCUUGGUGAGUCUAGCCAGAGGUUUGUCAAUUUUGUUUGCCUUUUCAAAGAAACUGCUCUUGGUUUUAUUGAUUUUUUUUUUCUGUUUUUUUUUUUUUGGAUCUCUAUUUUAUUAAUUUCCUCUAUGCUCUGUAUGAUUUCCUUCCUUCUGCUGACUUUAGGUUUGGUUUGUUCUUCUCUUUUUCUAAUUCAUUUAGGUGUUGGGUUAAGUUGUCAAUUUGAGAUUUUUCUUCUUUUUUGAGGAAGGCCUGUACGGCUAUGAAUUUUCUCCUGAGCACUGCUUUUGUGGCAUCCAUAGAUUUUGAGUGGUUGUGUCUUCAUUUUCAUUUGUCGUGAGGUAUUUUUCAAUUUCCUUCUUGAUUUUCUUAUUGAUCCAUUGGUUUUUUUAGUAGCAUGUUGCUUAAUCUCUAUGUAGUCAGUUUUUCCUCAUUUCUUUUUCUGUGGUUGAUUUCUAGUUUCAUGCCAUUGUGGUCAGAGAAGAUUCUUGAAAUAAUUUCUACACUCUUAAAUUUGUUGAGGUUAGCUUUGUGUCCUAGCAUGUGAUCGAUACUUGAGAAUGUUCUGUGUGCACUAGAGAAGAAUGUAUAUUCUGAUUUUUUUUUUGGAUAUAAUGUCCUAAAAAAUGUCGAUUAAGUCUAACUUUUCAGUUCUGUCAUUUAAGAUCUCUGUUGCCUUAUUGAUUUUCUGUCUUGAGGAUCUGUCCAUUGAUGUGAGUAGGGUGUUAAAGUCUCCUGCUAUUAUUGUAUGGUAGCUUUAUGUACAUUUUUGUGUUAAGCAUUUUACAUCACC